AGAGUUUGAUCCUGGCUCAGAACGAACGUUAGCGGCGCGCUUAACACAUGCAAGUCGCACGAGAAAGGGCUUCGGCCCCGGUAAAGUGGCGCACGGGUGAGUAACACGUGGGUAACCUUCUAGAGCGGGGGAUAACAUUCCGAAAGGAGUGCUAAUACCGCAUAAGACCACGUCCUCGAAAGAGGAUGAGGUAAAAGCAG
rnacentral:rRNA from 1 species